GAUGAACGCUGGCGGCGUGCCUAAUACAUGCAAGUCGAGCGAACAGACGAGGAGCUUGCUCCUCUGACGUUAGCGGCGGACGGGUGAGUAACACGUGGAUAACCUACCUAUAAGACUGGGAUAACUUCGGGAAACCGGAGCUAAUACCGGAUAAUAUAUUGAACCGCAUGGUUCAAUAGUGAAAUACGGUUUUGCUGUCACUUAUAGAUGGAUCCGCGCCGCAUUAGCUAGUUGGUAAGGUAACGGCUUACCAAGGCAACGAUGCGUAGCCGACCUGAGAGGGUGAUCGGCCACACUGGAACUGAGACACGGUCCAGACUCCUACGGGAGGCAGCAGUAGGGAAUCUGCCGCAAUGGGCGAAAGCUUGACGGAGCAACGCCGCGUGAGUGAUGAAGGUCUUCGGAUCGUAAAACUCUGUUAUUAGGGAAGAACAAAUGUGUAAGUAACUAUGCACGUCUUGACGGUACCUAAUCAGAAAGCCACGGCUAGCUACGUG
rnacentral:rRNA from 1 species